UACCACCCCACCCCCCCCCCCCCACCCCCCACCCCCCAAAAAAAAGACUCGAGCCGUGUGGUACCCCAGGGGACGUAACACAAACACUUACUGUUCCACUCCUGAACUGGAGGCUUUGAAAUCAGGAUUUUCAUCCUUAGACCAGUCACUCUUGAAGGACACACAGCUGGAUCCAGGUCCAGGUCCAGGUCCAGAUCCAGAUCCAGGUCCAGGUCCAGAUCCAGGUCCAGGUCCAGAUCCAGAUCUCUGUUGGGUCCUGAUGAGAAAUCAUUUGUUUUAUUAAAAACUCAUUUAUUUUGUAAUGGAGGUUCAUCAGAUUAUCUUAAUGUUUGAACUAUUGAUCUCAGAUCAUGAUCAGUCUGAUCUACAGUGAAACAGUCUGUUCAAAUUCUUCUAACAACUGUGUGACACUGAAUAGAUUUAUUUCAGUUAAGUUCAUGACAUGUUUUUGACAACACUUACAUUUCCACUCGUGAACUGAUGGACUUGAAGAGAGGAGGAGGAUCCUUAGACCAGUCACUCCUGAAGGACACACAGCUGGAUCCAGAUCCAGAUCCAGAUCCAGGUCCAGAUCCAGAUCCAGGUUGGUUCCUGUGAAGACUCUGAGCUUUGCUCUGGUUGUCAUGGUUACCACCUCUCCUUUCUGUCGAGGGAGGGGCUCCCUCCCACUGAUCCAUGCUGCUGGAUCCACUGGAUCAGCUCCCACAGCCCUUCAUCUGCAGAGGAAACCCUCAUCAUCAUCAGCUCUGAUCCUCCUCCACUGAUGGGCUCUUCUCUGGUGUUUCCUCUCAGGUUCAGGUGAAUGCAGUCAGAGGAAGCUGCUGAACAUCAGCUGCUGAACAUCACUUCUGCUCUCCCUCCACCAGAUGGAGACAUGGAGCUCAUUCACUCACUCUGACCAACAAACAACAAACUUCCUGUUUCUACUAGGAUGCAAUCAUCCAGUUUGCUGACGGUUGGAUUUGUGUUGAAAUCCUUUGAUUCCACAGAUGAUUUCACUGUCAAACAACAUAAGACAGAAAUCCCAUUUGGUUUUCAAGUGGACAG
rnacentral:lncRNA from 1 species